rnacentral:rRNA from 1 species
CCUACGGGUGGCUGCAGUGGGGAAUAUUGCACAAUGGGCGCAAGCCUGAUGCAGCCAUGCCGCGUGUGUGAAGAAGGCCUUCGGGUUGUAAAGCACUUUCAGCGGGGAGGAAGGCGUUAAGGUUAAUAACCUUGUCGAUUGACGUUACCCGCAGAAGAAGCACCGGCUAACUCCGUGCCAGCAGCCGCGGUAAUACGGAGGGUGCAAGCGUUAAUCGGAAUUACUGGACGUAAAGCGCACGCAGGCGGUCUGUCAAGUCGGAUGUGAAAUCCCCGGGCUCAACCUGGGAACUGCAUUCGAAACUGGCAGGCUAGAGUCUUGUAGAGGGGGGUAGAAUUCCAGGUGUAGCAGUGAAAUGCGUAGAGAUCUGGAGGAAUACCGGCGGCGAAGGCGGCCCCCUGGACAAAGACUGACGCUCAGGUGUGAAAGCGUGGGGAGCAAACAGGAUUAGAUACCCCAGUAGUC